UACGGAGGGUGCAAGCGUUAUCCGGAUUUACUGGGCGUAAAGAGCGCGCAGGCGGUCGUUCAAGUCGAGUGUGAAAGCCCCCGGCUCAACUGGGGAGGGUCACUCGAUACUGAUCGACUCGAAGGCAGGAGAGGGAAGUGGAAUUCCCGGUGUAGUGGUGAAAUGCGUAGAUAUCGGGAGGAACACCAGUGGCGAAGGCGACUUCCUGGCCUGUUCUUGACGCUGAGGCGCGAAAGCUAGGGGAGCAAACGGG
rnacentral:rRNA from 1 species